CAGGCUGCAACCCGCCCUGCGUGAAGUCGGAAUCGCUAGUAAUCGCGGAUCAGCAUGCCGCGGUGAAUACGUUCCCGGGCCUUGUACACACCGCCCGUCACACCAUGAGAGUCGGGAACACCCGAAGUCCGUAGCCUAACCGCAAGGAGGGCGCGGCCGAAGGUGGGUUCGAUAAUUGGGGUGAAGUCGUAACAAGGUAUC
rnacentral:rRNA from 1 species